AAGUCGUAACAAGGUCUCCGUUGGUGAACCAGCGGAGGGAUCAUUACGAGAGUUGAAAAACUCCCAACCCAUUGUUUACCUACCUGUGGAAAUCGUGCUUCGGCAGGCAGCCCCGUGGGACGGGGCCCCCGCCUUCUCCAGAAGGUGCCUGCCGCUGGCCAAACAACAAACUCUGUCAUACAAGUUACCAUCUGAGUCUAUAAACAAAUAAGUUAAAACUUUCAACAACGGAUCUCUUGGUUCUG
rnacentral:misc_RNA from 1 species